GGCUGAACCCAUUCAAAGCAUACUUGUCACAAUACAAUACACUUGUCAUACUGUGGUUAAAUCAAUCACAAACUUUAGUUACAAAACCCCUAAACAACAGGAACCUAUUCUAUCAUCUGCAGUUCC